rnacentral:rRNA from 1 species
GGGUUGUGAGGUUAAGCGACUAAGCGUACACGGUGGAUGCCCUGGCAGUCAGAGGCGAUGAAGGACGUGCUAAUCUGCGAUAAGCGUCGGUGAGGUGAUAUGAACCGUUAUAACCGGCGAUUUCCGAAUGGGGAAACCCAGUGUGUUUCGACACACUAUCAUUAACUGAAUCCAUAGGUUAAUGAGGCGAACCGGGGGAACUGAAACAUCUAAGUACCCCGAGGAAAAGAAAUCAACCGAGAUUCCCCCAGUAGCGGCGAGCGAACGGGGAGGAGCCCAGAGCCUGAAUCAGUGUGUGUGUUAGUGGAAGCGUCUGGAAAGGCGUGCGAUACAGGGUGACAGCCCCGUACACAAAAAUGCACAUAUUGUGAGCUCGAUGAGUAGGGCGGGACACGUGGUAUCCUGUCUGAAUAUGGGGGGACCAUCCUCCAAGGCUAAAUACUCCUGACUGACCGAUAGUGAACCAGUACCGUGAGGGAAAGGCGAAAAGAACCCCGGCGAGGGGAGUGAAAAAGAACCUGAAACCGUGUACGUACAAGCAGUGGGAGCCUCUUAAUGGGGUGACUGCGUACCUUUUGUAUAAUGGGUCAGCGACUUAUAUUCUGUAGCAAGGUUAACCGAAUAGGGGAGCCGAAGGGAAACCGAGUCUUAACUGGGCGUUAAGUUGCAGGGUAUAGACCCGAAACCCGGUGAUCUAGCCAUGGGCAGGUUGAAGGUUGGGUAACACUAACUGGAGGACCGAACCGACUAAUGUUGAAAAAUUAGCGGAUGACUUGUGGCUGGGGGUGAAAGGCCAAUCAAACCGGGAGAUAGCUGGUUCUCCCCGAAAGCUAUUUAGGUAGCGCCUCGUGAAUUCAUCUCCGGGGGUAGAGCACUGUUUCGGCAAGGGGGUCAUCCCGACUUACCAACCCGAUGCAAACUGCGAAUACCGGAGAAUGUUAUCACGGGAGACACACGGCGGGUGCUAACGUCCGUCGUGAAGAGGGAAACAACCCAGACCGCCAGCUAAGGUCCCAAAGUCAUGGUUAAGUGGGAAACGAUGUGGGAAGGCCCAGACAGCCAGGAUGUUGGCUUAGAAGCAGCCAUCAUUUAAAGAAAGCGUAAUAGCUCACUGGUCGAGUCGGCCUGCGCGGAAGAUGUAACGGGGCUAAACCAUGCACCGAAGCUGCGGCAGCGACACUAUGUGUUGUUGGGUAGGGGAGCGUUCUGUAAGCCUGUGAAGGUGUGCUGUGAGGCAUGCUGAAGGUAUCAGAAGUGCGAAUGCUGACAUAAGUAACGAUAAAGCGGGUGAAAAGCCCGCUCGCCGGAAGACCAAGGGUUCCUGUCCAACGUUAAUCGGGGCAGGGUGAGUCGACCCCUAAGGCGAGGCCGAAAGGCGUAGUCGAUGGGAAACAGGUUAAUAUUCCUGUACUUGGUGUUACUGCGAAGGGGGGACGGAGAAGGCUAUGUUGGCCGGGCGACGGUUGUCCCGGUUUAAGCGUGUAGGCUGGUUUUCCAGGCAAAUCCGGAAAACCAAGGCUGAGGCGUGAUGACGAGGCACUACGGUGCUGAAGCGACAAAUGCCCUGCUUCCAGGAAAAGCCUCUAAGCAUCAGGUAACAUCAAAUCGUACCCCAAACCGACACAGGUGGUCAGGUAGAGAAUACCAAGGCGCUUGAGAGAACUCGGGUGAAGGAACUAGGCAAAAUGGUGCCGUAACUUCGGGAGAAGGCACGCUGAUAUGUAGGUGAAGCGACUUGCUCGUGGAGCUGAAAUCAGUCGAAGAUACCAGCUGGCUGCAACUGUUUAUUAAAAACACAGCACUGUGCAAACACGAAAGUGGACGUAUACGGUGUGACGCCUGCCCGGUGCCGGAAGGUUAAUUGAUGGGGUUAGCGGUAACGCGAAGCUCUUGAUCGAAGCCCCGGUAAACGGCGGCCGUAACUAUAACGGUCCUAAGGUAGCGAAAUUCCUUGUCGGGUAAGUUCCGACCUGCACGAAUGGCGUAAUGAUGGCCAGGCUGUCUCCACCCGAGACUCAGUGAAAUUGAACUCGCUGUGAAGAUGCAGUGUACCCGCGGCAAGACGGAAAGACCCCGUGAACCUUUACUAUAGCUUGACACUGAACAUUGAGCCUUGAUGUGUAGGAUAGGUGGGAGGCUUUGAAGUGUGGACGCCAGUCUGCAUGGAGCCGACCUUGAAAUACCACCCUUUAAUGUUUGAUGUUCUAACGUUGGCCCGUAAUCCGGGUUGCGGACAGUGUCUGGUGGGUAGUUUGACUGGGGCGGUCUCCUCCUAAAGAGUAACGGAGGAGCACGAAGGUUGGCUAAUCCUGGUCGGACAUCAGGAGGUUAGUGCAAUGGCAUAAGCCAGCUUGACUGCGAGCGUGACGGCGCGAGCAGGUGCGAAAGCAGGUCAUAGUGAUCCGGUGGUUCUGAAUGGAAGGGCCAUCGCUCAACGGAUAAAAGGUACUCCGGGGAUAACAGGCUGAUACCGCCCAAGAGUUCAUAUCGACGGCGGUGUUUGGCACCUCGAUGUCGGCUCAUCACAUCCUGGGGCUGAAGUAGGUCCCAAGGGUAUGGCUGUUCGCCAUUUAAAGUGGUACGCGAGCUGGGUUUAGAACGUCGUGAGACAGUUCGGUCCCUAUCUGCCGUGGGCGCUGGAGAACUGAGGGGGGCUGCUCCUAGUACGAGAGGACCGGAGUGGACGCAUCACUGGUGUUCGGGUUGUCAUGCCAAUGGCACUGCCCGGUAGCUAAAUGCGGAAGAGAUAAGUGCUGAAAGCAUCUAAGCACGAAACUUGCCCCGAGAUGAGUUCUCCCUGAGACUUAGAGUCUCCUGAAGGAACGUUGAAGACGACGACGUUGAUAGGCCGGGUGUGUAAGCGCAGCGAUGCGUUGAGCUAACCGGUACUAAUGAACCGUGAGGCUUAACCUUACAACGCCGAAG